UCAACCAGCUGGAUGACUCCUUAUGAUUGGUAUCAGCUGGCAAAAACCUGCUUACCAGGGGGUAGUUUCUUGUUAUGGAAAAUGGAAAAGACCUGACCCAUUAAUCUCUUGUGGAAGAGGCUAUGCUUGUGUUUUCCUACAGGACAAAACUUCCCCUUUGUGGAUACCCGACAGACUCAUCAGACAUGCAAGACCCAAAAACCACCAAAAAUCCUCCAAUACUUUCUCCCUCUCUGCUUACAAACCUAACACCUCUCACGACUCUUCUGAGAAAUCUGUCUCUUGAAAAUGCUCCAUCUACACCCCCACCUUCGCCUGUCUCUAAUUCUUCCUCCUCUUCAUCUUCUACUCCACCCCUUCUCACCGACUUUAUACAACCCUCUACAAACCUCAACAACUCUUCAUCUCGAGACAAAGUGCGGUGGAGAAGCCGGAGACAUACUCCCUAUUCAAGAACCCAUCAAACCAUUGCGGCUGAGCCCCCAACUUGGGGCCAACUCAAAAAACUUACUCAUCUGGCUCACACCUUAACCGUGGAUCAACAUAUUCCCGUAAAUGCGGGUACUCUUUUUGUGGCAAUGCUCGCUAUCAUUUCCUGUCAGUCAUCUUCCGAAUCUUAAAUCAAGCUAUCCAAAAGGUGGCUUCAGAUCUUCAUCUAGCGAAAUUAAAAAAUAAAAAAGGGGGAGAUGCUGGGAGCCAGGCUGCAAGGGCAGCCUCUCUGCACCCGCUGCCCCCAGCAUAAACAUUGAAGAAUUCCUGAAAAGUCAGGAAGAGCCAGGCUGCAAGGGCGGCCCCUCUGCACCCACUGCCCCUAGCAUAAACAUCGAAGAAUUCCUGAAAAGUCAGGAAUAUCUCUGUCAUCUGUGUUAUGUUUCUAUUUCAUUUUCAGCCUGUGUAUAGCAGAAUGUAUAAGCAUAAAAUUCCAUUAUAGAUUUAGGGACCUUUGGACGGGGGGCGUCCUACUCAUAAUCCCCUGGUGAAAUCUCGGGUAGGGACAGCCCGUGUGUUACUUGGGGAUCAACAUGAAGUUGUCUUAGGGGAAAAACAAAUAGCUCGACUAUGGAAAACAAAAACAGGAUGGUGGAAUCCUGGUAUUUACCAAGGCCCUUUUGUGAUUAAACCACCACCCACACAUGACCCCAUAAAAGUGGAAAAACAAAAGGCAGUGAGUUCUCUCAGCCAAUCUCUCAGCCAAUUACAGGUCAACUUUCUCGUCCACCCCGCUCACUGCUGCGCUUGACUGGUCUUUGGGUAUAGAGAUUGGGCUAAUUGUCCUUGGCAUAAUCGUGGACAAUAUGACGUAACCCAAAGUGGCUGGGCUUCAGGAACUUGACCACCCUGGACAAGAUGGACAAAGCCUAUGUAACAAUGAUUUUGCAAAAAGAUUAAUUGUUAUAAAAACUGUGGAAGGUAUUGCAAGAUUAAGCAUAAGUGUAAAGCAAUAUGAAGUCAAUUAUUAUUUUGUGUAAAAAUAUAUCAACAAAAUAUUCUCUUCAAUUAAACAAAAAACUCAUUGUACUUGUGUAUGUAUGCGGAACUGUACUAUGUGUCACUUGGAAAAUUAUGUCUCUGGGAAAUGAUGUUUAUGAUUAUAUCUUGUACUGCCCCUUUAUUGAUCAUGCGAUGUUAUGCUUUUGUAAGCUUAUGAUAUAAAAGACCAUGUAAAAAAUAAAGAGCAGAGCCUUCUUUUUCUGCAGAAUGAAAAUAU